UCUUACGGGGGGAAAAGUGCCUCUCAGAAAGAGAACUCAAAAUCUGUACACGGGGAUUCUGUACCUUCUUCAUUCAUUGCAUUUUAUUAUUAUUUUUUUAAUGAGAUGUUUUCAGAUCCUUGAGCCAACAAGUAGAGUCUCUGUUAUAUUCUUGGACCAGGGAUCUGGGGACUGGAUGCCCAUGAAGCCAAGGCCUUCACAACAAAAUACCCACACCCCAUCCUCACCCUCACCUUCAACCGGUGCUUUUAUCAACAGAGUUGAUGAAGCCCAAGCUGAUUUUACGUAAAGGAUGCUCGCAAAGAAUGGAUGCUAACAGGGCUCUGGAAGAUUCAUGAGGUGCUACCUCC